ensembl:lncRNA novel transcript, antisense to DPH2 and ATP6V0B
UAGUUGUAGUCACGCGUCUCGGCGGAGGCUUGGGCGCCCUCCUCUCUAGGAACUUCGACAUCUGGCCGGUCCUUCUCGAGUCUCUCCACCUCGCCCUGCCAGCCCUGUUUUAUUCCCGAGCCUGCUCGCGGGCCCCUAAGGCGUCCUCUCUGGCAGCCGUGCGUCCUAGCCUGUGGCGGGUGGCGCCGCGCGUGCCCUCUGCCUCACCUUGCUCACGGCGUCUCUCCGCCCCAGUGCGCCUGUUGGCGCUCGCUCCGCUGCCUGGCUAACACCUGCUGUCCUCCGAAAUCGUCCUUCCGGCAAGCCUUCCCUAACCCAGUGGCAGGGAAGCGCGUUUGCUGGGCUCCCGCGAUGUCCUGGUGAUGCUUAUUAAGCUUCAGUACACUGGAAAGGAAUCUGGUUAAAUACAGUUAACAUCUACAUCCCAGGACCAGUGCAGGACCUGCAGUAUUUCAUGAAUUAAAAAGAAACACAAAGAGAAAAGGUCGCGGACAAAUCCAGCGACUCGCUCCAGCUCGUACACUCCGUCCAGGUCCGGAAGAGGAGUAAGCAGUCCUGGCACCCCGGUCUCUCGCUGCAGCGCCGCCUCGGCAGGGCUGCUAAACAUCGACUCCAUGAGGCACAGCUUGGGUGGUGGGAUGCAGCGGGGACCUCCCUGGGACAGCUUCGGGGCCUGAGUCCUCUAGAGCAGCCCUCAGGGGGUCAAAAUCGCCUUGUGGGGGUAGGGGGAAUCACAGUCGGCCUUCAGCCGGUCUCGCUAUGUUGCUUGGACUGGAGUGCAGUGGCGCGAUCUCCACAACCUUCACCUCCUGGACUGAAGCCAUCCUCCCACCUCUGCCUCUUGAGUAGUUGGGGCUACAGGCGCACCACCACAUCCAGCUAAUUUUUGUAUUUUUUGUAGAGACAGGUUUUUGCCAUGUUGCUCAGACUGGUCACAAACUCCUGAACUCAAGCAAUCCACUCAUCUCGGCCUCCCAAAAUGCUGAGAGUACAGACGUGAGCCACCGUGCCCGGCUACACUGCAUAAUUUUAAACUUGGUGCCGACCGGCUCGGGUUUGAAUAUUGUGCUUGGUCACUUGCUACUGAGUAUCUUAGGAAUGUCCCUAUGCCCAUUUCCUUAUCUGAAGAAUGGGGAGUUGUGACAAUAGUACCUCUUAAUAAGAUUGUUGUGAGGGUCUAAUUAAUUUAUAUACAAAACUUUACAAAGUAGUUCUUUGGAUAUCGCAUGCAGUGAAAGCAUUUGCUAUUUAAUCAGCCAAAUACUGAGCACUUACUGUACAUUAGGCACUUCAUUUUUAGUGUUUACAGUCUUUGGAGUAAGAAUUAUCCCGAGUGGUACCAAGGACAUGACUGGCACAUCCUCAAGUCACAGGAGAUGCUCUGCACAGCUCCAGCCAUCCUCAAACACUGCUGCUUCCCAGCAAUACCCCCAGUGCAUACCACAUAGACCUCUACCCUCCAGCCCCUCACAUCCCCUCUACUCCCCAUGUUUACUUAUAUGCAAACACCCCCACAUGCAACAUCACUUGAAAUGCCCUCCUUACAUACCUCUGUCAGAUACGGAAACUGAGGUUCAAAGAGACUACUUGUGUAAUAAGACACUAAUUCUGUGGCACAACCAGCAUCAAACCCGGAUCUAUUGAACAGGGAAGGAGUGGGAUGAAUGUGGGAGUAACGAGUUCCCCAUCACCCACAAGGAGAUUGAAAGCUCAAGGGUAAAAGUGGGGAGAACUCAUUCUGCUCUUCAGAUCUUACUGAGGAGAAGCCUGGGGUACCUGAGAGGCAGCCUAGGUGAAACUAUAGCUGAGGAGACAGAAAGGGAGGCAACACUGCUAAGGGAGAAAAGCAAGAAUAGGUCAGGAGCUGUCCCUGGUGCUGAUUGAUCCCUGACCAUCCUGUGCUGGAGGUCCUGUGUAAGCGGGGAGCAGCGGACAUAUGGACAACCUUAGGUCCUACUUUCCUCUUUUCUCCUCUGCGGCUGAGAUAUCUUCUCUCCUUCACCUCCCUGCCACCCACCCACCCCCCAAUACACACACACUCAGC